rnacentral:lncRNA from 1 species
CCCGCGUUCCUAGUGCGACGAUGCGCUCUCGCCUUCCUCCCCAUUGCUACCUUGUCCCUCCUCCGAUGUGCCGCGCCCAACGCGGCGUUCCUGGUCCUGCUCCUCCUUGACCGUGUGCUGGAACUGGAAGUGGUGAGCAGCGGCGUUCCUGGUCCUCCUCCUUGACCGUGUGCUACUUACGAGGUCGUGUUCUUCUCGUCAUAUGAUCUAUAUUGUUUUUGCGUACUAUGGCUCAUAUUUGCAUUCUUGGUCUGAACUGUCUACCUUGGUUACAUAUACAUCCAAUACAUGGGUUUCUUUAUCCAUAAUUUUUUUCGUUCUUCCUUAGUAUUGUACAUAGUGUUUUCUAAUGACUGCUACACCAUGUGAGAGGGUUGCAUGUUGCCGUGAAAGGGUAAAGAAGAGGAGGCUAGCAAUGGAUGGUUAAUGCCUCUAUUGUUUACAAAGAGAGAGAAAAGGAGAUGUACACAAAUCAAAGAUAACAAUUUGCUCUGUUUUGCCUUUGCUCAGCCCACGGUGAGGCUUCUCAUAUGAAAAUGAGGACAUCAACUCUGACAACGUGGCCAUGGGUGAGCGGAAUCGUUGUGGCUACAUUUUGAAGUGAUAUAUUCAUCUAAAACAUUCAGUCCCAUUUGUUAUUAGAUGCCUAUAUUUUUCAUAGCAUAUAAGAGAUUUUUUUCUUUAUCAUGGGCAUGCAUCAUAUAUGCCUGUUGCAAUUCAGGAAUAUACUCCUUUUGGCAGUGUUAAAGGGACUACCACACUAAGAUCACGUUUAAGCUUACAUUCUUGCUAUCCAAAUCUGGUCUUUGACGCUUGACAACAGUAAGACAUUCUAUGUAGAAUUCAAUCUGCUAGCUCUUUUUAGGAUCAUUAGUUUUAUCUUUCAUAUAGUGCCUCUUGCUGCUACUUACUACCAUGAAGAAGUUCCCUUAGUUUUUUAGCUGUCAGGAAUUCUAAAAUCUUACAGGAAGUUCACUGCCAUUAAAAGGCCCAGAAACACAAAUACACACCCUUGCCAAAAACAUCACUGGGAUUUCUUUGGUCUAUACAAAAUAUUUUAUUCUGUCCAAAUUCAACAGUUGUGAUAUGCAAGUCCUAAUCUCAUGCAAAAUGUUUGCAGGAUAAACGAUGCUCCAUAGAUCAUGAAGCAGAUGCCCCCGCCACCUAAGGAUUUGGAGAUUACUAUAGUGCAAGUAGAGUGUAGUGAUCAAUGGGUCCUGAUAAUGUUCAAAGGCUACAAGCAUUAGCCGGGACAUAGUCCAAGCCUGAUACAGGAAAAGUGUCACUUAACAUUAUGUCCAACUUUGUUUUGUUUGUGAUACGAGUUGUAUAACUAUUUAAGCAAUUAUGUAGCUAUUUUUAUUUCAGUUUCACUAGCAUUGUCUAGAACACGGUGUUCGGUAUACAUGUUUUAUACUAAUUUUUAACUUCCGUGGCAACGCAGAGGCACAUACCUAGUAAA